rnacentral:rRNA from 1 species
AACGAACGCUGGCGGCAUGCCUAACACAUGCAAGUCGAACGAUGGUCUUCGGUUCAUAGUGGCGCACGGUUGCGUAACACGUGGGAAUCUGCCAUUGGGUUCGGAAUAACAGUUGGAAACGACUACUAAUACCGGAUAAUGUCGAUAAGACCAAAGGUAUAUCGCACGAGGAUGAGCCCGCGUCGGAUUAGCUAGUUGGUGGGGUAAAGCUCUACCAGUGCGACGAUCCGUAGAUGGGCUGAGAGGAUGGUCAGCCACACUGGGACGAAGACACGGCACAGAAUCCUACGGGAUGGAGGAGUGGGGGAUAGUGGACAAUGGGCGCGGGCCUGAUCCAGCAAUGCCGGGUGAGUGAUGAAGUCCUUGGGGUUGUAAAGCUCUUGUACCCGGGAAGGUAAUGACUGUACCGGGAGAAUAAGCCCCGGCUAACUCCGUG